ACGAACGCUGGCGGCGUGCUUAACACAUGCAAGUCGAGCGGUAAGGCCCUUUCGGGGGUACACGAGCGGCGAACGGGUGAGUAACACGUGGGUGACCUGCCUUUAGCUCUGGGAUAAGCCUGGGAAACCGGGUCUAAUACCGGAUAUGACUCCGCGGCGCAUGUUGUGGGGUGGAAAGCCUUGUGCGGCUGGAGAUGGGCCCGCGGCCUAUCAGCUUGUUGGUGGGGUGAUGGCCUACCAAGGCGACGACGGGUAGCCGGCCUGAGAGGGCGACCGGCCACACUGGGACUGAGACACGGCCCAGACUCCUACGGGAGGCAGCAGUGGGGAAUCUUGCGCAAUGGGCGAAAGCCUGACGCAGCGACGCCGCGUGAGGGAUGACGGCCU
rnacentral:rRNA from 1 species